CCAGACUCCUACGGGAGGCAGCAGUGGGGAAUAUUGCACAAUGGGGGGAACCCUGAUGCAGCGACGCCGCGUGAAGGAUGAAGUAUUUCGGUACGUAAACUUCUAUCAGCAGGGAAGAAAAUGACGGUACCUGACUAAGAAGCCCCGGCUAACUACGUGCCAGCAGCCGCGGUAAUACGUAGGGGGCAAGCGUUAUCCGGAUUUACUGGGUGUAAAGGGAGCGUAGACGGGCCAGCAAGUCUGAUGUGAAAACCCGGGGCCCAACCCCGGGAGUGCAUUGGAAACUGCGGGCCUGGAGUGCCGGAGAGGUAAGCGGAAUUCCUAGUGUAGCGGUGAAAUGCGUAGAUAUCGCGCAGAACUCCGAUUGCGAAGGCAGCAUGCCGGCUCCACACUGACGCUGAGGCACGAAAGCGUGGGUAUCGAACAGGAUUAGAUACCCCAGUA
rnacentral:rRNA from 1 species